rnacentral:rRNA from 1 species
GACGAACGCUGGCGGCGUGCUUAACACAUGCGAGUCGAACGGAAAGGCCCUGCUCUUGCGGGGUGUUCGAGUGGCGAAAGGGUGAGUAUCACGCGAGUAUCCUGUCCUUGAUUCUGGGAUAAAUUCAGGUAAAUGGGGCUCAUACAGGAUAGGUGCUCCUGCUGUCUGGUGGGGGUUGGAAAGUUUCGGUGGUUGGGGAUGGACUCGCGGGUUCUCCGUUUGUUGGUGGGGGAGUGGCUUACCAAGGCGUUGACGGGUAGCCGGCCUGAGAGGGUGACCGGGCACAGUGGGACUGAGAUACGGCACGGAGUCCUACGGGAGGCAGCAGUGGGGAAUAUUGCACGAUGGGCGGAAGCCUGGUGCAGCAUCGCCGCGUUCGGGAUGACGGCCUUCUGGGUGUGAGACGCAGGCGCCUUUGACGUGGCGGGGGUGACGGUAGUGGGUUAAGAAGCGCCGGCUAACUACGUG